rnacentral:rRNA from 1 species
UACGUAGGGUGCAAGCGUUAAUCGGAAUUACUGGGCGUAAAGCGUGCGCAGGCGGCUUUGCAAGACAGAUGUGAAAUCCCCGGGCUUAACCUGGGAACCGCAUUUGUGACUGCAUGGCUGGAGUGCGGCAGAGGGGGAUGGAAUUCCGCGUGUAGCAGUGAAAUGCGUAGAUAUGCGGAGGAACACCGAUGGCGAAGGCAAUCCCCUGGGCCUGCACUGACGCUCCAUGCACGAAAGCGUG